rnacentral:sRNA from 1 species
CGGCGAGUGAAGCGGGAAGAGCUCAAAUUUGAAAUCUGGUAGCCUUCGGUUGCCCGAGUUGUAAUCUAGAGAAGUGUUUUCCGUGCCGGCCCAUGUACAAGUCCCUUGGAACAGGGCGUCAUAGAGGGUGAGAAUCCCGUCCUUGACAUGGACCCCCGGUGCUUUGUGAUACACUUUCAACGAGUCGAGUUGUUUGGGAAUGCAGCUCAAAAUGGGUGGUGAAUUCCAUCUAAAGCUAAAUAUUGGCGAGAGACCGAUAGCGAACAAGUACCGUGAGGGAAAGAUGAAAAGCACUUUGGAAAGAGAGUUAAACAGUACGUGAAAUUGUUGAAAGGGAAACGAUUGAAGUCAGUCAUGCUCUUAGGAUUCAGCCGUUCUGCGGUGUAUUUCCUUUGAGUGGGGUCAACAUCAGUUUUGAUCGAUGGAUAAAGGCACGAGGAAGGUAGCACUCUCGGGUGAACUUAUAGCCUCGCGUCAUAUACAUUGAUUGGGACUGAGGAACGCAGCAUGCCUUUAUGGCCGGGAUUCGUCCACGUACAUGCUUAGGAUGUUGACAUAAUGGCUUUAAACGACCCGUCUUGA